rnacentral:tRNA from 1 species
UCCCUGGUGGUCCAGUGGCUAGGACUGGGUGCUCUCACUGCUAUGGGCCUGGGUUCAAGUCCUGGUUGGGGAA